rnacentral:rRNA from 1 species
CCUACGGGUGGCUGCAGUGGGGAAUAUUGGACAAUGGGGGGAACCCUGAUCCAGCCAUGCCGCGUGUGUGAAGAAGGCCCUCGGGUUGUAAAGCACUUUCAGUGAGGAAGAACGCCUGGUGGUUAAUACCCAUCAGGAAAGACAUCACUCACAGAAGAAGCACCGGCUAACUCCGUGCCAGCAGCCGCGGUAAUACGGAGGGUGCGAGCGUUAAUCGGAAUUACUGGGCGUAAAGCGCGCGUAGGUGGCUUGAUAAGCCGGUUGUGAAAGCCCCGGGCUCAACCUGGGAACGGCAUCCGGAACUGUCAAGCUAGAGUGCAGGAGAGGAAGGUAGAAUUCCCGGUGUAGCGGUGAAAUGCGUAGAGAUCGGGAGGAAUACCAGUGGCGAAGGCGGCCUUCUGGACUGACACUGACACUGAGGUGCGAAAGCGUGGGUAGCAAACAGGAUUAGAUACUCCGGUAGUC